rnacentral:rRNA from 1 species
UACGAAGGGUGCAAGCGUUGUUCGGAUUUAUUGGGCGUAAAGCGCGCGCAGGCGGGUGGAUAAGUCAGAUGUGAAAUCUCGGGGCUCAACCCCGAAACUGCGUCUGAAACUAUUUACCUAGAAUAAUGGAGAGGGAAGGGGAAUUUCGCAUGUAGGGGUAAAAUCCGUAGAGAUGCGAAGGAACACCAGAGGCGAAGGCG